rnacentral:misc_RNA from 1 species
GAUGAAGAACGUAGCGAAAUGCGAUAAGUAAUGUGAAUUGCAGAAUUCAGUGAAUCAUCGAAUCUUUGAACGCACAUUGCGCCCGUCAGUAUUCUGGCGGGCAUGCCUGUUCGAGCGUCAUUACGCCCCUCAAGUCCCCUGUGGACUUGGUGUUGGGGAUCGGCGAGGCUGGUUUUCCAGCACAGCCGUCCCUUAAAUUAAUUGGCGGUCUCGCCGUGGCCCUCCUCUGCGCAGUAGUAAAACACUCGCAACAGGAGCCCGGCGCGGUCCACUGCCGUAAAACCCCCCAACUUCUGAACGUUUGACCUCGGAUCAGGUAGGAAUACCCGCUGAACUUAAGCAUAUCAAUAAGCGGAGGA